GUCCCUGUUGCGCAAUGGAUAGCGCUUUGAACUUCUAAUCCAAAGGUUUAAAUCCCACCUGGGAUA